rnacentral:ncRNA from 1 species
CUAUUAAUUUGCACUCAAUCGUACCGAUAUCCGCAUUAGGUCUCCAAGGUGAACAGCCUCUAGUCGAUAGAAUAAUGUAGGUAAGGGAAGUCGGCAAACUAGAUCCGUAACUUCGGGAAAAGGAUUGGCUCCAGUGGUCGGAACGGUUGGCCAGUUGGUUGAUGCUUGUCCGGCGCUGUUCUGUCUGCUUGAUGCUUUCGGGCUGAUGGCGGCCUAGUGAUAGUGCUUGCUUGUUGACGCUUUCUGGUGUGUGCUUUGACCUCGGUCUUAGUAUCCUGAUCGUUCAUCUAAACGACUAAACUGGAACCGGUACGGACUCAGGGAAUCCGACUGUCUAAUUAAAACAGAGGUGACAGAUGGUCCUUGCGGACGCUGACUGUCACUGAUUUCUGCCCAGUGCUCUGAUGUUAAAUCGUAGUAAUUCGAGUAAGCGCGGGUAAACGGCGGGAGUAACUAUGACUCUCUUAAGGUAGCCAAAUGCCUGUCAUUUAAUUGUUGACGCGCAUGAAUGGAUUAACGAGAUUCCUACUGUCCCUAACUACUAUCUAGCGAAACCACAGCCAAGGGAACGGGCUUGGCAAAAAUAGCGGGGAAAGAAGACCCUGUUGAGCUUGACUCUAGUUUGACAUUGUGAAGAGUCAUGAGAGGUGUAGCAUAGGUGGGAGUCUUCGGACGCCAAUGAAAUACCACCACUUUCAUCGACUCUUUACUUAUUCGGUUAAAAGAGAAUUGGUCGCAAGGCCUCUUUUCGAAGUAUUAAGCGGAUCCAUUUUAUGGAACCGUGACUCUCCCCGAAGACAGUGUCAAGCGGGGAGUUUGACUGGGGCGGUACAUCUAUCAAAUCGUAACGUAGGUGUCCUAAGGCGAGCUCAGAGAGGACGGAAACCUCUCGUAGAGCAAAAGGGCAAAAGCUUGCUUGAUCUUGACUUUCAGUACGAGUACAGACCGCGAAAGCGUGGCCUAUCGAUCCUUUUAAUUUUCCAGAUUGUUUCUGGUAAGAGGUGUCAGAAAAGUUACCACAGGGAUAACUGGCUUGUGGC